GCCUGGCUGGCUCAGUGAGCAGUAGAGCAUGAAACUCUUGAUCUUGGGGUUGUGAGUUUGAGUCCCAUGUCAGACA
rnacentral:tRNA from 1 species